UACAGAGGUGCCAAGCGUUGUUCGGAUUUAUUGGGCGUAAAGCGUGCGUAGGCGGCUGCGCAAGUCGGUUGUGAAACCCCGGGGCUCAACCCCGGAACUGCAUCCGAUACUGCGUGGCUAGAGGUAGGUAGGGGAGAUCGGAAUUCCUGGUGUAGCGGUGAAAUGCGCAGAUAUCAGGAGGAACACCGGUGGCGAAGGCGGAUCUCUGGGCCUUACCUGACGCUCAGGCACGAAAGCUAGGGGAGCGAACAGG
rnacentral:rRNA from 1 species